rnacentral:rRNA from 1 species
AUUGAACGCUGGCGGCAUGCUUUACACAUGCAAGUCGAACGGUAGCAGGCCGCAAGGUGCUGACGAGUGGCGAACGGGUGAGUAAUGCAUCGGAACGAGCCCAGUCGUGGGGGAUAACGCAGCGAAAGCUGCGCUAAUACCGCAUACGAUCUAUGGAUGAAAGCGGGGGACCGUAAGGCCUCGCGCGAUUGGAGCGGCCGAUGUCAGAUUAGGUAGUUGGUGGGGUAAAGGCUCACCAAGCCAACGAUGUGUAGCUGGUCUGAGAGGACGCCCAGCCACACUGGGACUGAGACACAGCCCAGACUCCUACGGGAGGCAGCAGUGGGGAAUUUUGGACAAUGGGCGCAAGCCUGAUCCAGCAAUGCCGCGUGCAGGAAGAAGGCCUUCGGGUUGUGAACUGCUUCUGUACGGAACGAAACGGUCCUGGUUAAUACCCGGGGCUAAUGACGGUACCGUAAGAAUAAGCACCGGCUAACUACGUGCCAGCCGCCGCAGUAAGAC